AGAGUUUGAUCCUGGCUCAGAUUGAACGCUGGCGGCAGGCCUAACACAUGCAAGUCGAGCGGAAACAGAGAGUAACUUGUUACUUCGGCGUCGAGCGGCGGACGGGAGAGUAAUGCCUGGGAAAUUGCCCUGAUGUGGGGGAUAACCAUUGGAAACGAUGGCUAAUACCGCAUAAUAGCUUCGGCUCAAAGAGGGGGACCUUCGGGCCUCUCGCGUCAGGAUAUGCCCAGGUGGGAUUAGCUAGUUGGUGAGGUAAUGGCUCACCAAGGCGACGAUCCCUAGCUGGUCUGAGAGGAUGAUCAGCCACACUGGAACUGAGACACGGUCCAGACUCCUACGGGAGGCAGCAGUGGGGAAUAUUGCACAAUGGGCGCAAGCCUGAUGCAGCCAUGCCGCGUGUAUGAAGAAGGCCUUCGGGUUGUAAAGUACUUUCAGCAGUGAGGAAGGUGAUAGUGCUAAUACGCUGUUGCCCUGACCGUACCAACAGAAGAAGCACCGGCUAACUCCGUGCCAGCAGUUGCGGUAAUACGGAGGGUGCAAGCGUUAAUCGGAAUUACUGGGCGUAAAGCGCGCGUAGGCGGUUAGAUCAGUCAGAUGUGAAAGCCCUGGGCUCAACCUGGGAACUGCGUCUGAUACUGUCUAACUAGAGUUUGGGAGAGGAGUGUGGAAUUUCCUGUGUAGCGGUGAAAUGCGCGUAGAGAUCUGGAGGAAUACCGAUGGCGAAGGCAGCCAUCUGGCCUAAUACUGACGCUGAGGUACGAAAGCAUGGGGAGCAAACAGGAUUAGAUACCCUGGUAGUCCAUGCCGUAAACGAUGUCUUCUAGCCGUUGGGAGACUUGAUCUCUUAGUGGCGCAGCUAACGCGAUAAGUAGACCGCCUGGGGAGUACGGUCGCAAGACUAAAACUCAAAUGAAUUGACGGGGGCCCGCACAAGCGGUGGAGCAUGUGGUUUAAUUCGAUGCAACGCGAAGAACCUUACCUACCCUUGACAUACAGAGAACUUUCCAGAGAUGGAUUGGUCCCUUCGGGAACUCUGAUACAGGUGCUGCAUGGCUGUCGUCAGCUCGUGUUGUGAAAUGUUGGGUUAAGUCCCGUAACGAGCGCAACCCUUGUCCUUAGUUGCUAACACGUAAUGGUGAGGACUCUAAGGAGACUGCCGGUGACAAACCGGAGGAAGGUGGGGACGACGUCAAGUCAUCAUGGCCCUUACGGAGUGGGCUACACACGUGCUACAAUGGUCGGUACAAAGGGUUGCCAAGCCGCGAGGUGGAGCUAAUCCCAUAAAACCGAUCGUAGUCCGGAUUGGAGUCUGCAACUCGACUCCAUGAAGUCGGAAUCGCUAGUAAUCGUGGAUCAGCAUGCCACGGUGAAUACGUUCCCGGGCCUUGUACACACCGCCCGUCACACCAUGGGAGUGGGUUGCACCAGAAGUAGCUAGACUAACCUUCGGGAGGUCGGUUACCACGGUGUGAUUCAUGACUGGGGUGAAGUCGUAAC
rnacentral:rRNA from 1 species